rnacentral:rRNA from 1 species
UAUCACUUCUGGAUGGACCUGCGGUGCAUUAGCUUGUUGGUGGGGUAACGGCCUACCAAGGCGAUGAUGCAUAGCCGAGUUGAGAGACUGAUCGGCCACAAUGGGACUGAGACACGGCCCAUACUCCUACGGGAGGCAGCAGUAGGGAAUCUUCCACAAUGGGCGCAAGCCUGAUGGAGCAACACCGCGUGAGUGAAGAAGGGUUUCGGCUCGUAAAGCUCUGUUGUUAAAGAAGAACACGUAUGAGAGUAACUGUUCAUACGUUGACGGUAUUUAACCAGAAAGUCACGGCUAACUACGUGCCAGCAGCCGCGGUAAUACGUAGGUGGCAAGCGUUAUCCGGAUUUAUUGGGCGUAAAGAGAGUGCAGGCGGUUUUCUAAGUCUGAUGUGAAAGCCUUCGGCUUAACCGGAGAAGUGCAUCGGAAACUGGAUAACUUGAGUGCAGAAGAGGGUAGUGGAACUCCAUGUGUAGCGGUGGAAUGCGUAGAUAUAUGGAAGAACACCAGUGGCGAAGGCGGCUACCUGGUCUGCAACUGACGCUGAGACUCGAAAGCAUGGGUAGCGAACAGGAUUAGAUACCCUGGUAGUCCAUGCCGUAAACGAUGAGUGCUAGGUGUUGGAGGGUUUCCGCCCUUCAGUGCCGGAGCUAACGCAUUAAGCACUCCGCCUGGGGAGUACGACCGCAAGGUUGAAACUCAAAGGAAUUGACGGGGGCCCGCACAAGCGGUGGAGCAUGUGGUUUAAUUCGAAGCUACGCGAAGAACCUUACCAGGUCUUGACAUCUUGCGCCAACCCUAGAGAUAGGGCGUUUCCUUCGGGAACGCAAUG